GAUGAACGCUGGCGGCGUGCCUAAUACAUGCAAGUCGAGCGAACAGACGAGGAGCUUGCUCCUCUGACGUUAGCGGCGGACGGGUGAGUAACACGUGGAUAACCUACCUAUAAGACUGGGAUAACUUCGGGAAACCGGAGCUAAUACCGGAUAAUAUAUUGAACCGCAUGGUUCACUAGUGAAAGACGGUUUUGCUGUCACUUAUAGAUGGAUCCGCGCCGCAUUAGCUAGUUGGUAAGGUAACGGCUUACAAAGGCAACGAUGCGUAGCCGACCUGAGAGGGUGAUCGGCCACACUGGAACUGAGACACGGCCCAGACUCCUACGGGAGGCAGCAGUAGGGAAUCUUCCGCAAUGGGCGAAAGCCUGACGGAGCAACGCCGCGUGAGUGAUGAAGGUCUUCGGAUCGUAAAACUCUGUUAUUAGGGAAGAACAAAUGUGUAAGUAACUAUGCACGUCUUGACGGUACCUAAUCAGAAAGCCACGGCUAACUACGUGCCAGCAGCCGCCGUAA
rnacentral:rRNA from 1 species